AUGCUCCCUUCUGCAGCACAUAUACUAAAAUUGGGAUGAUAUAGAGAAGGUUAGCAUGGCCAUUGCAUAAGGAUGACAUGGAAAUUCAUCUGUACCUUACACCAUACCC